rnacentral:rRNA from 1 species
UAUGUGAUCGUCUCUCGCAUAUCAAUAAGCGGAGGAAAAGAAACUAACAAGGAUUCCCUUAGUAACGGCGAGCGAACCGGGAUAAGCCCACCAUGAGAAUCGGUCGCCCUCGGUGUUCGAAUUGUAGUCUGGAGAAGCGUCCUCAGCGGCGGACCGGGCCCAAGUCCCCUGGAAAGGGGCGCCGGAGAGGGUGAGAGCCCCGUUGUGCUCGGACCCUGUCGCACCACGAGGCGCUGUCGGCGAGUCGGGUUGUUUGGGAAUGCAGCCCCAAUCGGGCGGUAAAUUCCGUCCAAGGCUAAAUAUUGGCGAGAGACCGAUAGCGAACAAGUACCGUGAGGGAAAGAUGAAAAGAACUUUGAAAAGAGAGUUAAACAGUACGUGAAAUUGUCAAAAGGGAAGCGUUUGACACCAGUGUUGUUUUUCUGAAAAUCAAUUAAAGAACUGUUUAUGCUAAGUUGUUUAGACUUUAUCAGCUAACUGUUUAGUUUUGAGCUUUUCUUUAAUGCACUUUUCAGUUAACAAGUCAACAUCAAUUUCUUUUGCUGUAAAAAAGCUUGAGGAAGGUGGCUUGAGAUUCGUCUUAAGUGUUUAUAGCCUCUUGCCUAUGCAGUCGGAGAGAUUGAGGUCUGCAGCGUAGAUCCUUCGGGGCUAAAUGCAUUUGUGCUAAGUUAUAACAUCUUAUAGACAACUUGUUGACUAUGAUUUGUCUUGUAGCUUACUCGCUUAUGUUAUUUUACCUACGCUUAGGAUGUUGAGUCGUAGAGCACGCAG